rnacentral:lncRNA from 1 species
AGUGUGCCUGAUGGACCUGCCCCAGCAGAGCCAGCCGAUGGCUCAUUGAGCUUACGUCGUUUCGAUGGUGAUACAACCGGCUCCGGGCGUCUAGCCUGGUGCGCCUGAGCUGCUUCCUGGCCUGCAACUGGCUGUUGGUGGAAUUGACUGGCUGAAGCGUGGCGCCGUGCGGGAGGCGCCCUGUCAUCUGGUUCUAAUGUCUCUCUUGUACUCACUAUAUUGUUUGAAGUGUUACCAGCAUCGCCGCUACUAGGUUUUGGCCUGCCGGUGGUCAGGAAUGCUUUGACGCUACCCUGACCAGCUAUAGUAGUUAAUUUCUUGGGCCCCAUCGCUCAUUUAUAACUUAUUUAUACUAAAAUAGAACGUCUCUGGGGGCCUUCGGCCCGCCCCGGCUCCGUAACGACCGUACCAGGCCUUUACCAUGGUCUAUGACGGAGCGCAGAACGCAAAUAUGCCAUUUUAUUACGGAACCGUAAUAUAUUACGGAAAAAAAUACACCGGUCCAUAGUCCAGGGCAACGGAGGGGUUUACCCUGGGGCCGUGUCACCCCUCCUGCUGGGUAGGAACUUACAAGGGGGUUACCGAAGGGGGUUGAAGAUGGGUAACCCAUGGGUAACUGACCCAAUCAGUGCCUUAGGCAGGGGAGUGCCGGGAAUGUACAUGUAGGCAAUGGACGAGCGAAACGUUGACUUAAACCGUAUCUUGCACCACACCUGCGAUUCAAUUUCCUAACACAGGUAUGUAUUGGACAUUGGCGACUUGAUUCGACUAAGAUUGUCGCUUCAACAAGGUCAUGGACACAUAUUGUUCACUCAAGCAGCAUGAACGUCUCUUCCUGGGUCAAUUCGACUCAUUUCAACUCUUUUCGACUCAAUCGACUUAGUUGGCGACUCUUGGCGUUGAGCAGAGGCCGCGUGGUUCACUGCUGAACUCCUUGCGUCCUUCCUCCUCACUUGUCAAGCAUGACUGAGUUGGUCACAAAGGACUUGGACUCGACUCAUCGAAACUGCGGUUAACCACGUGGAACUUCACAAUGUUCUGGUGAUUUAAACUCCACGAUUGCAAACUGUGAAUCAACCCGUGUGCCAGCGUGUGUGCCAGAUACCCAUGCACCAAGUUAUAUCCUAAGCAUUUCACCGCAUCGAGGGCUUUUCAUCGCCCUUGAUUUAGGGUUAUGUCCGGAAACAUUUGUUUACUGCAGGGCUUCCUCAAUUCGUUUCAUUCAAUGUUUCGUUGGCGCUUCCUUUAAUUGUAUUCCACAGCAGCCCUUCCUUGCCCAUGUCCAUGACGUGAAAGAGUGAGAUGUAACGCAAUUGUCCGACACUUGGCAUUUACAUGUCAGACAUAUGCGACAUGUGGGCGUCCAUUUCGUCUCUACCUUGCCAUCGUGGUUAGUCUAGGAACUUUAUUCACAGCACAGUCUAUACAAUCCNNN